GUGCUGGGAUGUUAUUGAAGGUUCGCCGUACUGGUGGAUAAUCAAAGGACCAAUUGUGGCGUCUAUCGCAGUCAACUUUGUGCUUUUCAUUAACAUCAUUCGAAUCCUGGUGCGGAAGGUGAUUCCGAAGGAGGUUCGCUCAACUAACUCCUCGCAGUACAGGCGACUGACAAAGUCAACCCUUCUGCUGGUCCCUCUGUUCGGUGUGCACUACAUUGUGUGUGCUUUCCCUCCUGAUGGAGCAGUGCUAGCCAUUAGACUUUAUCUUGACCUUUGCAUCGGGUCAUUUCAGGGUUUUAUCGUGGGAGUGCUGUACUGCUUUCUGAACCAAGAGGUAAGCAAACU